rnacentral:lncRNA from 1 species
GGGACGGAGGGGCGGGCAUCAGCAGGGCUUGAAGGUUGGGCUUCAGGGGCGGGAGAGAGCAUGCGGAGGCAGGAAGCCAGGCCCUGGGGCAGCAGGUCGUGCGUAUGGGUGUGUGUCAGCGCCUACGAAGCGCAGAGGAUGGAACCGCAGUAUUAAAAAACAAAAACAAAAAAAAAGAAGAAGAAGAAGAAGAAGACCAGCCGCACGUCCUCUAGACGCGGGCCUCCGCCCCCGCCCUCCGCGGACGCCUGUUUAUAGUGAUAAUCAGGCCCAGCGCGCCGCAGCCAAGGAGGCCGUAAAUCCGCAUCCAUCACCGCGCAGCCAUUCGGUCUGAAUUAGCCAGUCACUACGGCCUUAAUUACUUUGUCAAAGAUGAAAAAUAGUAAUUGAUUUUGUCCUCGAUCACUUUGUUCCCUCCUCUCCUGCCUUGCAGAUAAGCAAAUAAAUAUUUUUGAAAA